ACUCCUACGGGAGGCAGCAGUGGGGAAUAUUGCACAAUGGGCGCAAGCCUGAUGCAGCAACGCCGCGUGAGCGAUGAAGGCCUUCGGGUCGUAAAGCUCUGUCCUCAAGGAAGAAUAAAUGACGGUACUUGAGGAGGAAGCCCGGCUAACUACGUGCCAGCAGCCGCGGUAAUACGUAGGGGGCAAGCGUUAUCCGGAAUCACUGGGGCGUAAAGGGGUGCGUAGGCGGUUUUCAAGUCAGAAGUGAAAGGCUAUGGCUCAACCAUAGUAAGCUUUUGAAACUGUUAAACUUGAGUGCAGGAGAGGAAAGUGGAAUUCCUAGUGUAGAGGUGAAAUUCGUAGAUAUUAGGAGGAACACCAGUGGCGAAGGCGACUUUCUGGACUGUAACUGACGCUGAGGCACGAAAGCGUGGGGAGCGAACAGGAUUAGAUACCCUGGUAGACUGUCA
rnacentral:rRNA from 1 species